rnacentral:sRNA from 1 species
AGGGAUACCGUAUUCAUGCAGUGAGGUGGCACCUCAGCUUCUCUGCGCUGAAAUGCCCAAAUUAAUUCACCAUUCUUAGCAGUCUUCCCAGCUGAGAAGACUCAUGGCAUUUCAGAAUGUUCCAGUGCAACAGGUCUCUUGUGGCUCAGAGCAUAAUUUGGCAGUAAUUGGUGGAGUGUGUUACUCUUGGGGCUGGAAUGAGCAUGGCAUGUGCGGAGAUGGCACUGAAGCCAACGUCUGGGCCCCGAAGCCGGUGCAGGCUCUGCUGUCAUUGUCAGGACUCCUUGUGGGCUGUGGGGCUGGCCACUCCUUGGCCCUCUGCCAGCUGCCAGCUCACCCUGCAUUGGUCCAGGACCCCAAGGUCACCUACCUUUCCCCAGAUGCCACCAAGGACACUGAAUCUCAGGAAGCCAUGGACAAAGAGAGAAACUGGAAGGAAAGACAAUCAGAAACUUCAACCCAAAGCCAAUCUGACUGGUCCAGAAAUGGGGGACUGUGAUAGAGAAUCUUUAAUAAAGUGGCUUUUCUCACCAAAA